GACGAACGCUGGCGGCGUGCUUAACACAUGCAAGUCGAACGGAAAGGCCCUGCUUUUGUGGGGUGCUCGAGUGGCGAACGGAUGAGUAACACGUGAGUAACCUGCCCUUGACUUUGGGAUAACUUCAGGAAACUGGGGCUAAUACCGGAUAGGAGCUCCAGCUGCAUGGUGGGGGUUGGAAAGUUUCGGCGGUUGGGGAUGGACUCGCGGCUUAUCAGCUUGUUGGUGGGGUAGUGGCUUACCAAGGCUUUGACGGGUAGCCGGCCUGAGAGGGUGACCGGCCACAUUGGGACUGAGAUACGGCCCAGACUCCUACGGGAGGCAGCAGUGGGGAAUAUUGCACAAUGGGCGGAAGCCUGAUGCAGCAACGCCGCGUGCGGGAUGACGGCCUUCGGGUUGUAAACCGCUUUCGCCUGUGACGAAGCGUGAGUGACGGUAAUGGGUAAAGAAGCACCGGCUAACUACGUG
rnacentral:rRNA from 1 species